UACGUAGGAUGCGAGCGUUAUCCGGAUUUAUUGGGUUUAUAGGGUGCGCAGGCGGUUUGUUAAGUCUGUGGUGAAAGCGUGUGGCUCAACCAUACCAAGCCAUGGAAACUGGUGAACUUGAGUGCAAACGAGGUAGGCGGAAUGUAACGUGUAGCGGUGAAAUGCUUAGAUAUGUUACAGAACUCCGAUUGCGAAGGCAGCUUACCAGCAUGCAACUGACGCUCAGGCACGAAAGCGUGGGUAUCAAACA
rnacentral:rRNA from 1 species